AGUUCAGUGGCUCAAUUGGUAGAGUAACGGUCUCCAAAACCGUGGGUUUAGGGUUCGAGUCCCUACUGGACUGCCA
rnacentral:tRNA from 6 species